UAAAGUUUAUAGAUUUAAUUUUAGCUUCUAACUAAGAAUUAAGAGGGUUUGAUUCCUUCUGACUUUAA
rnacentral:tRNA from 1 species